AUUCAAUUGUUGCAGCAUUGGAGCUUUUAGAUUUUGAUUUAAAGAAACUAACAAACAAUCUAACACUUAGAAUUAAUGUUGAUGGUCUACCUUUAUUCCGCAGCAACAAUGUUAGUCUGUGGCCUAUUCUGGGUAGAAUCAAGGAGAUCCCAAAUUGUGAUGUUUUUGUGAUCGGGUUAUACUCAGGUACAACCAAACCUUCUAAUGUACAGGAGUACUUGAACGACUUUGUACAAGAUGUAAGGGCAAUUAUACAAGAUGGAGUUCAGUAUAAUGGUGUCCAUUUCAGUGUUGCUGCUCCAGAUGCAUUCAUUUGUGAUGCACCUGCUCGUGCUUUUCUUAAAUGUGUGAAGGGACACACUGGCUAUUAUGCGUGUGAGCGGUGCACUCAAAAGGGCAUGUAUGUGAAUAGGAGAUUGUGUUUUCCUGAAAUUUCUGCUGAGCAAAGGACUGAUGAGACUUUUCGUGCUAUGGCCUACAAAGAGCAUCAGGUUGGGGUGUCACCUCUGAAUGAGUUGGGUGUGGGACUAGUCUCAGGUUUUGUGCUGGACUAUAUGCACCUUGUGUGUCUGGGGGUAAUGCGAAAGCUUAUUUAUCUUUGGUUAAAAGGUCCCCGAAAAUGCAGACAGUCUAUGCAAAUUCUAACCGUGAUUUCAGCAUUCAUGGUUUCUGUCAGGCAAUAUUUGCCUAAAUGUUUUGCAAGGAAACCAAGAUCUCUCCUUGAAAUUAGCAUGUGGAAAGCAACUGAAUUGAGGCAAUUUUUGCUUUACACAGGCCCAGUUGUUUUAUUUAAUAAUAUACCAAGCCAAAUGUAUAGACACUUUAUACUGUUAUCUGUAUCUAUAAGAAUUCUUCUAAGUCCUGAUUUGUGUAUUGAUAACUGUGAUUAUGCAGACGAUGUUUUAAAGCAGUUUGUGAAAGAUUUUGGUUUGAUUUAUGGUCUUGAAUUUGUUGGUUAUAAUGUACAUAAUUUAAUACACCUAGCUGAAGAUGCGCGAAAGUCUGGACCUUUGGACAGUAUUUCCUGCUUCCCAUUUGAAACCUUCCUGGGUAAACUGAAAAAGAUCGUGCGGAGGCCUCAUAAACCUGUGGAACAAAUUGUCAAGCGCGUCUAUGAGAUGCAAAGUAUUCAGAAGAAAAGAAAAGAGAGGAUGUCUGUUCCCUCUCCUCUUAAACAGCCUCAUAACUCUGGACCAAUAACAAGUGAUCUUGGAACUUUUAAGCAGUACAGAAAAUACACUGAUGGACAGACAUAUGUUUCUUGCUCCAUGGGAGAUAACUGUUUCAAUGUAGGGGGGAAAAUUCUUAUUGUGGCAAACAUUUUACAGGAUUGCCAAGUUGUCAAAGCACUGUGUCAGGUCUUUGAAAACUGUAAUGCCUUUUUCAGCUAUCCAUUGGACUCAACAUGCCUUGGAAUUUACUUUGUUUCAAAUCUGUCUAAACAAAUGCAUCUUGUAUUACUUGAUGAAUUAAAACAGAAAAUUGUGCUUUUGCCACUGAAGUCUGGAUAUGUGGCAUUGCCACUGCUGUACUAGUUGGCUUCUUUUUGCUUUCUCCCCAGCAUGCUACCAUUUGCAGUUGUUGAUUUUCUGGAUGGUGGAGGUGUAUCCAUAAUUCCUUGCAAGUGGUUUACAGGACCAGCGGAAGAUUCUUGUUUCUGGCCACCAGGGAGAGUCAAUAUCAAUAAGGCUGUAAAGGAUGGAGUUACUCCAGAUGCAAACUGGUCACAGUACAGAGUUCGCAUCUUGGGGAAAGCUGAAAAAUACGAAAAUGCCAGGGUGAAACUGCGGAGGUCUGAAGCAACCUCUGAUCUGCAGACUGAGUCGGAUUCUGGAAGCAGAUUGGGAAAAGGGAAGCGGAAAAGGAGGCCAGUGAUCCAGUCAAGCUCAGAUGAGGAUUGGGACAACGCUGCGGAACAGCCAGAGAACUCAUCACCAUCAGCAAUGGAGAAUAGACAUUCAAGUGAAACUCCCCACCAGAACAUCACUCAUCCAUUUGUUCGGCUACCACCACCUUCAACUCCUUCACAAGCAGUUCCAAGACAACUUGUACAAGCCACCAAUACCAGCAUGUUUGUACGUGUUCUCUCUGGUUUGCAGCAUACUUGAAGACGUAGGAGGUCAAACAACCUGAUCAGCCCCACCUUCAAAACAACUCCAGUAGUAUUUCAAAUCUGAUGUUAUUUGUGAAAAAAUGCACUUUUUUUCAAGACCAAUGGAUCAGUAAAUGAGUGAGAAGCUGUGUUUCAGUGCAUUUUGUUUUCUUUUAAACUGUAUAACAUUGAUUUGUUAUUGUUUUGUGUAUACUAGGGACCUUUUUUGUCAACUUGUUCUCUAAACAAAAAAAUUAUUUGUAUAGUAUAUUAAUCAGUAUUGUAAAAUAAAAAAGAAUAACUGA